rnacentral:rRNA from 1 species
AGCGAACGCUGGCGGCAGGCUUAACACAUGCAAGUCGAGCGGGCACUUUCGGGUGUCCGCGGCGGACGGGUGAGUAACGCGUGGGAACGUGCCCUCUGGUUCGGAAUAACUCAGGGAAACUUGAGCUAAUACCGGAUACGCCCUUUUGGGGAAAGGCUUGCUGCCGGAGGAUCGGCCCGCGUCUGAUUAGCUAGUUGGUGAGGUAACGGCUCACCAAGGCGACGAUCAGUAGCUGGUCUGAGAGGAUGAUCAGCCACACUGGGACUGAGACACGGCCCAGACUCCUACGGGAGGCAGCAGUGGGGAAUAUUGGACAAUGGGCGCAAGCCUGAUCCAGCCAUGCCGCGUGAGUGAUGAAGGCCUUAGGGUGGUAAAGCUCUUUUAUCCGGGACGAUAAUGACGGUACCGGAGGAAUAAGCCCCGGCUAACUUCGU